rnacentral:rRNA from 1 species
AGUGAACGCUGGCGGUAGGCCUAACACAUGCAAGUCGAACGGCAGCACAGAGGAGCUUGCUCCUUGGGUGGCGAGUGGCGGACGGGUGAGGAAUACAUCGGAAUCUACUCUGUCGUGGGGGAUAACGUAGGGAAACUUACGCUAAUACCGCAUACGACCUACGGGUGAAAGCAGGGGAUCUUCGGGCCUUGCGCGAUUGAAUGCGCCGAUGUCGGAUUAGCUAGUUGGCGGGGUAAAGGCCCACCAAGGCGACGAUCCGUAGCUGGUCUGAGAGGAUGAUCAGCCACACUGGAACUGAGACACGGUCCAGACUCCUACGGGAGGCAGCAGUGGGGAAUAUUGGACAAUGGGCGCAAGCCUGAUCCAGCCAUACCGCGUGGGUGAAGAAGGCCUUCGGGUUGUAAAGCCCUUUUGUUGGGAAAGAAAUCCAGCUGGCUAAUACCCGGUUGGGAUGACGGUACCCAAAGAAUAAGCACCGGCUAACUUCGUGCCAGCAGCCGCAGUAA